ensembl:processed_transcript Gm16046 predicted gene 16046
GGUGGUCCCCGGUUAGCAUUGAGGCAGAUUCUUACAUCCUCCUCUGUCUUCAGUUGGAGAAGGAAAAAAAAAGAGAGAGAGCCACAGGGAGACCUACUGGAGGCUCUUCAGCCUCUGAGGUACAGGAAAGACCCGGGGGCUGAGCUGGCUGUGUUGGGAAGGAGGUGGCACCAGGGUUCAGAGCCUCCACAGUCUUUCAGGGCUAGGACUUAGAGAUGCGGGGUAAAGUGCAGAGCCCAGUAGCUGUGUUUGGAACCCAACAUAUCUCAAGGACAGAGUAUGGGCUGGACUGUGAUCCAAGAUCAGGCACUACUGAGGCUGAAAGAGCAGCUGAAACGGACCGUCCGUCUGCAACCCAGUGAUGAGCCCAGGUGAGCUCUGCACUUCGGGGGCUCUUUGUUCCUUGAGAGGCAUGGAGGACUAUGCUCCAGUGACUGGGAAGGAAGAACAUGCCAGCCCCACGCGCUUCACCUAGCCCACAAGGACAGCCCGUACGCAGUGUUCACACAUGUCGAGGCAAGCAUGUGGUCUGUGGUCAUUCCUGGCAGCCAAGGUUUGGGAAAAGCAGCCUCUGCCUGGGUCUGCCUCUGUUCUCUGCUCACAGCUCUCCACCCCUGCCAAGGAGACUGUGGUUGCUAGCAUCUGUGGACACUUUCCCACAAUGCAGUUCUUCGUGAUGUCUGCUAAGCUGGGGGGGGGGGGGUCUUCUCUGAAGCCCUGAUUCCUCACUUUGACUUUUCUCAAGGAAGAGAAAGGAGAAUGGAUACAUCUAUCUAUCUAUCUAUCUAUCUAUCUAUCUAUCUAUCUAUCUAUCUAUCUAUCUAUCUAUCUAUCUAUCGACAACUGAAGAUGGGAAAAGGGUAAUUUUUUUAAAAAAAGCUAAUGACCCUGUGUAUUUAGUUUAUGUGGGAUUCUGUUCUGUUUUAUUGUUUGAGCUGUCUGUCUUAACGUCACUAUCAAACUAUUUGUAUUAUUAUAAUUUUGUAAUAUAUCCUUAGUC